UUUUUGGUUAGAAAAUCACUGAAAUGGUCAGGAUUUCUUUGGUUGAUAAACGGUUUUUCAGGAUGUCUCAUAGUUGGGUUUUAUUUGCUUUUUUGUUUGGUUGUAGGUUGUUUUUUUUUUAAUAUGGAUUAAGGAAUUCUCCACAGAAGGCUGUAAUGUUGAAUGAUAACAUGAUAAAUUUCACAUGCACAAAACUGCUAGAAUCAGUUUCCAGUGAGUUAUUGACAAAAAUCCCUCUGAGCACUUUGUGGGAUCAGGCCUCAACAUCUAUCAGCUGUCUUGAGAUGAGGUUCUCUGCUUUACCUAUAAGUAGAAGGAAUCUCAGCCUCUGGAUGACGGAGACUUGAAAUAACUCCAUACAAUGAGUUACCUGGAGGAAAUAUCUACUGAUGGCCUCUGAAUCACAGCAGCCUAGCUCCCCUUGCCAGAAGUACUGCCAGACUCUUCCAAUAAUUUGUGACAUAGGCCAGCUUCACUGUUGUGUAAAAUCUCUUGCAAGACUAUAAAAAAGCUCUCUGCAGGGCAUCUCUCCUUGCAGCAUGGGGAAAUUCACCUCUCGCCCCACCAAGAACUGAGAUUUUAAGAUUUCUGCAAGCUGCUCCUGCACCCUUUUUUCAGACAUCAGAGGGAGCAUGAAAAGUUACUUGUUGUUCUUUAAUACCUUAAUCUGUUUGGGAAAUGUGGGUGAUCUUGUAAUGGUUAAUUGCUACGAUGAUCUGUUUUCUUCUGUUUCUUGCACUCCUGUGGAUGUAACAUACUCCAGCCCUGGGCAGAUAAGCAGAGCUAUACAGCCUGUUCAGACAGGAAACAGAAGAAUGCAAUUUCAAAAUCUGUUCUCUCUCUCUCUUCCAGUGCUGAAACAUUAGCACCAGUUACCACCACUAGCAGACUGCAGCGUACUCUGAAUGGAUAUUCUCACAAAAUGAACUUUAUGAUUCAGACUGUUGAGGAUACCAAUGUAUGGAGCUCCCCUGCAGACACCUCCUAACCCUUCUGGUUUCAGACCAGAUUGUUCAACUUCCACUCCAGGCUUGUCAUUCUGGUGAAGGAUUUGAGCAAUGACUUCUGUGGCUUCAGAUUAAGAAGAGAAAAGGAGCAAUUUAAGGCUGCAAUCUAAUAGUGCAUUGUCUGUAAAGGAGAAUCCUUUUGCUAGUAGCUCCCCCUCAAACCUCUUGCAAGAAGGGCUCGUCUGCCUGCAAGAACCCUAGUGGUAUGAAGGUAGGUUUGUACACUUUUUACAUGGUGACAAAUACUGAUGCAGCUGUGAAGGACCAAGAGCUGUCUAUAACAAAGGAUUUAGGGGCCUAAAUAGCACAUAGGGGAAUGUAGGUAAAUCCAGAAUUGUGACCCUGAAAACCACCAUUCAACUACUGCAAAAUAUUUAAUUCAAUUUUUUUUCAGAUACUCCUUGUUUAAGGGGUGAGUAAACAGCAUAGCACAUAUGUCAUCCUCAAGUACGAUCAUAAUCCAGAAAGUGGCUGAGGGUUUUCAAGACUCUGCUAUCUAAGGAAGGACUUGAAUGUAAGAAAAAGCUGAAGGAAGAGUAACCUGAAGCAGCUGUGGCUCCUUAUGAACACUGAUUUUGAAAACAAAGGCAUGCAAAGUGCUCUACACUGAGGCCUACGCUUUUGUUAGCAGCAUGAUUGUGCCAUGGCUUGCACCAAACUCAGUAAAGCGUUAUAUAUACAAGCUUAUUCACCACAGUGGAAAAAGCACUGCAGG